rnacentral:rRNA from 1 species
UACAGAGGUGGCAAGCGUUGUUCGGAAUUACUGGGCGUAAAGGGCGCGUAGGCGGUCUUGUAAGUCUUGUGUGAAAUCCCUCGGCUUAACUGAGGAACUGCACGAGAUACUGCGAGACUUGAGUUCGGGAGAGGAAAGCGGAAUUCCGGGUGUAGCGGUGAAAUGCGCAGAUAUCAGGAAGAACACCAAUGGCGAAGGCAGCUCUCUGGGACGGUACUGACGCUGAGACGCGAAAGCGUGGGGAGCGAACAGG